rnacentral:lncRNA from 1 species
AUUUUUUUCUGUUCUCUUGUUGUUGUGGUUUGUUUCUACUUAAUUUUUUGUUGUUAUUAUUUACCAAUUUUUAUGUUGAUGGUUGUAUUAUUAUAUGUGCACUAUUGAUGUUUGAACAUUGAUUUAAAAAAAGAAAAAGAAAAAAAAAAAAAAAAAAUUGGUCUUACGAUGACGUAACCCGUCAGGCGACGAAAUCCCUGCACUAUAAUUGGCCAAGACACAAGUCAAUCAUAACGCCCGUCUCGGUCUCUUCCGGCUGUGUGUCAGCCCUUCUGCAGCAGCAGCAGCAGCAUCCCUGCCAAAGAGAAGCGAAAUCCAGCCAGCAUCACAGGUGUCUCUGUUUCGGACGUGGUUGUUUUAACAGGUCUCUAGAGACAAGAAAAGGCAAAGAGAGACCAUGUUUUAGAGACCCCCGUGUUGGCAGCCCAUUCUCUACAAUGAACAAUGAAGAUGAGUUCUAUGAUGCCGUCACAGGCUUGGAUUCAGACGAGUCGUGUGAAGGCACAUCAGAGGCCAGUUUUAAAGAUGCUGUAGUGUAUGUCGGCGCUCAGAAGAACAAUGGAGCGGUUCCUCAGGAGAACGGAAUUAAGAAGCACAGGUCGUCUCUUCCCGCCCCCAUGUUCUCCAGGAGUGAUUUUAGCGUAUGGAGCAUUCUCAAGAAAUGUAUUGGACUGGUAAGGAUAAAAAGAUAA